AACAGAUAAAGGUUGACAUUUGCACUCCUAAGCUCCUCUGCUAUUAAAAUUUCUCAAAUUUUGCCUGAAGAACUUGCUGAAGUCUCCCGUCUUCAGCACUGUGUUCUUAGAUAUCUGGAAAUCAGAGCAAAGAGUUGGCAGAAGUCUUUGCUAUAACAGCAGUGUAAAAUCAUCCCUUACUGAGAUAUCGCUUCUACUUUAAAAGAUGCAAAGAUGACCAACGAUCUUAAAUGUCUGCCUGUCAAGCCCUUGCUCACAAAGUCUCUCUAGAUGCUGUAUUUCAUGUGGUCAGAGCCAAGUAGCCAAGACAUAUUUAAUCUCCAUCAAAGUUGCAGGAAAACAUAAGCUCCCUUUCAAAUGGGAGCACGGACCCAAUUAUCCUUUCCUCUCUGCUCCCUUCUUGGUACCUGCAUUGAAGCUGCUUGAUGUCAAAGCAGGAUUUGAGGAACCACUGUAGAGUGACAAAGUUUUGGUUUGGUCAUUAUGUAGGUCAUCUUUUCCAUAUUGCUUCAGACCUUUGAACUAAAGAAGUCACAAUCAUGUUAUUUCUGAGAAGCGCUGUGCUGGAAUCCCGUUUUCCCACCAUCAUGGCAUGUAUUGUUUCAGAGAAGGAACAGAAAGCUGCCAGAAGCUGCCAGGUGCUCUCACUUUGGAAGACAAGUUUGAGGGACCAAUUGUCUUCUAAUCACCAUUGAGGCUAUUGGUCAGUUUCUCCCUUGGCUACACGGAUGUACAUGCUUCAAGCAACUGAGCAGACUCUGCCAUUUAGAAACAGAAAUCAUUUUUAGAAGUGGCAGAAAACGUAUCAGCUCCUACCUGAGUAACAGGGCAUGAUUUCUCAAUGAAAAUACUUUUAAAAUAGCCAAGGAACAUAGGCAGAACAGACAGGAACAAAGCUUGUCUGCGAGGUACCAGACUGGAAAGCUGUCACAUUAGUGCUAGCUACUAUCUCAGCUUUCAUACAGCUUCCAUCAUAAAUGUUUAAUUUAGUUUUUUCUUCGAUUACAUUCUUGCAUGGAUAGACAGGGAAAAAAUGUCAGACUUGCAACGUACUUCGACAUGUUAAUAUCCAUGGGAUAAAAAUCUUGGAGGAAGCCUCUCUGGAGCAAGUGUCUUCAGUAAGUAACUAAACUGAUGAGCUUUUAAAGAAUUAAUGACUUCAUAAAGCUGUUUUUCUGAGGUUGGCUUUUGAUAUUUUAUUGGGAUCUCUUAUGUAUUGUUUUGGUUCCAAACAAGCUACAUUCAAAGGCAGAUAACUAUAAAAUUUUUAAAUGAUAUUUCAGAAUACAUUGCAAAUAUUAUGUCCUUACCUUCCUAGAGAUAGUGUUCUGGUCCAGUUGAUGAGGGAACAAAAGGAACAGAAAAAAACAGAUUGCUGAAAUGGGAAUAAGAGCCUUAUAAGAUAUAGAACACAAGUGAUGCUUUAAGUUAAAAUCCUCUGUCCAUACCAAGCUCCUCUAGGAAAUAUAAGGGCUCCAAUUAAUUUUGAAUAUUCAACACUUAUUCUGAAAGAUCUCUCCAGACCAUUCUUUGAAAUUAAAGGUCCAGGACUUACACAGAGUCACAGAAUCAUUAAGACUGGAAGAGGCCAUAUAGUCCACCUCUCCACCUACCACCAAUAUUGUCACUGUGUCCCUCAGUGCCCCAUCUUCACAUUUUGUGAACACCUACAGGUUUAGUGACUCCACCACCUCUCUGUGGAGCCUCUUCCAAUCCAUCACCACUCUUUUGGACAAGAAGCUUUUCAUGAUAUCCAACAUGAACCUCCCCUGCUGCAACUUGUGACCAUUCCCUCUCAAUCUAUUAUGUAAUAAUCUGUAUUUUCCAAAUGCCUAUAUGUAAUUUGCACUGGUUAUUUGUGUCUCAGUCCGUCACACAGGAAGAUGAUAACUGUGACACUGAAAGCAGGCUGCUCUGUAGUAGUGAACUGUUUGUCUCAUUUGAUGUAGUUUGGUCCAGUCAACUACAAGGACAGUCUCACAAAUCCCUGGAUGUGCAGGAAUUUGCAACUUACCUCCAGCCAUUCUUUUGCUGUGGAGCACAUAAAUCUUCUCCUAUGCUCAAAUUUUCUUAAAAGUAACCAGCCUAUUUCUCACCUAUUCCACUAUCUACCUAUUCGAUACAGACAGACUGAACAGCUCUCUCUUCUAUUUAGGUAACCCUUAACACUUCGGUACAGAGAAACAAUAUCACCCUUGCUUCAAAAAAUAUCAUUCUGUAUGGUAAGAUGCCUUGAAGACCAAUAGUAAUUAUGAUAGUCAGAAAUGAAAGGACUGUGAAAAUGUAUAUCCAUCCUUCAUAUGAACUCAUGCUACCUUUACUUGGCAACCCUGGAGAUUGCAUAGAUUGCCUUAUUUCUUUUUUUAUUUCUAACCCACUGGAUUUAUCAGAAUGAAAUAUGAGUGAAAUGCUAGAAUUCAGGCCUCGCAGAUUCCAUCCAUACUUCCCCCUGUUCAGGAGAUAUCUCCCACGUAUUAUAAUUAUUCUGCUCAAUUCCAUCACACUUCCAAUUUCUACUCCUAGUAAUACAACUCACCUUCAAAGUACACAGUGACAAGGGCAGUUCAUGAGGACAGCUGGGCUCAGUGAAGACAUCUUUGCUAUGUAAGCUUAAUUCAAUGUGCAUAGAACUGGAAAUGCUUUUCUGAAGGAGCUAGGGGUAGAGCUGCAUCCUACACUAUGUUAAAUAAAAUGCAGAAUCUGGACCUUCAAUUCUGUUCACCUCAAAUUUUGGACAUGGAAAGUAAAAUGAUGGUAUGAUUUACUAUUUUCUUAUAACUGAAUUGCAUGCACCAGGAGAGAAGUAUAGAGAGAAAAUUCUCACUUGCUACACCAGAGGCUUCAUUAUUAACAUUUCAGUGAAUAAAACAAUGAUUACUACAGAAAGCAAUUAGGUAAUGCCCACUGCAAUGGGGAAAAAAAAAAAAGCUGACAAGUUUCACGUAGUUUGAGCCAACUCAUUUUGCUUCACAAGUGGGACACUCUAAAGUUAUAUAUGGCUGGCUCCCAUUGUGCAGCUAAUGAAAGAUCAUUUUUAAUCAAUAAACAAAUAAAUCAGUUGUUUUCAUGCAUACGUUUCUUUUUCCUAAUCCAGUGACAUAGUCCCAGUCAAGAAAGGCCAGGUGUGAGAAGAAAAGAGAUUGUUCUUGACUUCUUAGCUGAGGGCUUUUUCUUGGGCAAGGCCAAGGUGCCUAUAGCUGAUGUAGGUAAGAUCACAGUUUCCAUGCUUCCUGAACAAUGCUGCACUUAAGUCUCUAAUACCAAAAACUUUUCUUAGCAAUGCAUUUCAGUUUGUACAUCAUGGAAGAGAUAAGAUUUUCAAUCUAGCUUGCUGGCUGUCUAGUCACACAAUUAAGCAUUUAUUUCAUUUUUGACCUUGGUCUACAUAUGUACUUCCAUCGAUAUGAAACAUCGAGGUAUGGCCAAAUUAGGGAUCUCUUCCAAAUGGUCUAGUUCAAUCAGAAGUCAUGGAUUUGUUGCAAUUGUUUCUGUUUGAAGUUUUAUGCUGCAUGUGAUCCAAGCAGUCAUAGAUUGUAAUGGUACUUUCUGGUCUUAAAUCUGCUCAUUCCUCCUCAGUCACUCAAUUUCUUACAGAAAUGUCUCAAUCUUUUACUUUUCCUAACAGUCAAAAAUUGGAUACAAUUGAAUCCUUCUAUCUUGAAAUGUAAAUUUUAUAUGUAUAUAUAUUUAUAUCAUGUAUGAUUUAUGCUCAAAAAUCAUACUCCAGAUAAAGUAUAGACAUUGAUCAUUAUUUUUUGAGCAAUUGCUUAUAAAUUUAGUAAGCUGUCUGCCUUUUUAUACUUUUCAGUCUGUUCUCGUUACAGACAUGGCAGAAGGCUUUGUAGUAAAUUUGGAAUUUGCUGAGUGAGAAAAUGAAGAUUUAUACAAAGCUAAAUUGAACAAAUGGUGAAUAAUUGAUUUAACUGACCUGACAGCUCACACUGUGCUUGUAAAUAAUACAUAACUUUUUACUAUUCUGAUAAUUUAGUAUUCUGUGCUUCUAGAUUUCUUUCAGUAAGUUACCAUAAGGAGCAAAUGAUCUUUGACCACCCUAAAAAGGCAAAAAUAUGCUUACUAAGAACAUUCUGGCACCCAGGUUGUAGAUAGCAAUAGACUGAUAUAGUGCUGAUGAAGCACCUUCAUAAAGAUUCUCUGCCCUUUUGCCUUUUGUCUCUAAAGCACUGUUUGUUAGAUAGCCCCAAUAUAACCAUUUCUUACUAUUCUGCCAGCCACCAGCUCCUGGACAGGCUCUGUAAAAAUUUACGUAGCAUCACUGUGGUGAACAGGAUCACAGUGACUUGUAACAACAAAUGCAGGUGCCUGUUCUGCAUUUCCUUUUCUUUCAGUGUGUAAGUCUGAACCCUUCAACAAAUGCAUAAACAGAAGCUGUUGUUAAACUGGUUCUGAAAGUACACAUGCAAUUGUAAGUUGAUAUAUGUGUCUGAUAGCUUCAUUGCCUUUACUAUUCAGUAACUACUGAAAUAACCUGUACAAUAGAAGCGUGAAAGGCAACCACUAGGAUUUGGCAGCUUUCCAUACCCCCCUUGCAGGACAACAGCCAGUUACAAAAAAGUACAGAGCAAUGGCGAGCUUAGCCUACUUUUUAUUCAGAGGAUCACAGGAUUAGAGGAUUGUAGGGGUUGGAAAGGACCUCUGGAGAUCAUCUUGUUCAACCCCCUGCUAAAGAAGGUUCCCUACGCAGGAAAGCAUCCAGACAGAUUUUGAAUAUCUCCAGAGAAGGAGACUGCCACCUCUCUGGGCAGCCUGUUCCAGUGCUCUGUUACCCUUAAAAUAAAGAUUUUUUAUGUUCCAGUUUGUGUGCAUUGCCCCUUGUCCUGUUUCUGGGUGCCACUGAAAAGAACCUGGCCCCACUCAGUUGUCUCCAGCCUGUUAGAUACUUGUAAGUAUACAUAAGAUUCCCUUUCAGUUUUCUCCAGGCUGAACAGCCUUAGGUCUCUCAGCCUUCCCCAUAAGGAAGCCCUCCAGGGCAUCCACUGGACUCUCUAGAUGUUCCCUGUAUUUCUUGAACUGAGGAGCCCAGACCUGGACACAGUGAUCCAAAUGUGGUCUUCCAGGGCAGAGGAAUGGGGGAGGAGAACCUCCCUCAACCUGCUGGCUGCAAACUUUGUAAUGCACCCCAGGAUACCAUUGGCCCCCCUGGCCACAAGAGCACACUGCUGAGUCAACCUGCUGUCCACGAGGAUGUUAUUCAAAUCUGCCUGCUCACCACUGAAAUACGUCCACUUGGAUAUGGCAGUGCAACAGGGAACAUAAGAAUUAAAGAAACAGUGAUACCACAACACCUGUCGGAGUGGCCAGCUGAAAGCUCUGAGAACUGCAUACUGCCCAUCAAUCCAAAAGAAAAUUCUCAACAAAGCCAGUGGGAAGCACAGACUGUUCCAAAGCUGGACUACAGUUCUCACUUUUGGAGAGAAGGAUAAUAAUACUGUAAAGGAUAAAAUAAAAGGCCAAGAAGAGGAAAGAAUGAAAACUAUGAAAAUACAAGACCACAAGGAUGUUGGAUGUUCAAGGCAUGUAUCUUGGUUUUAUUCUUCUUUGUAAUACGGAUUUGUGAUUUAUAAAAAGACCUUUUAAUAUGCAUAUAUCACUUAGGGGAAUGAUUGUACAGAAGAAAUAUGUCACUCAAGCCAAAUAAAAUAAAACUGGUAUCAUACUUCCAGAAGUUCUGGCACAGCAGAGAAAGUAAUUCGUUUAGAAAAAAAAUCCCAAUGAGCUGAAGAUUAGAU
ensembl:lncRNA